rnacentral:rRNA from 1 species
GACGAACGCUGGCGGCGUGCUUAACACAUGCAAGUCGAGCGGAGCGGCGAACGGGUGAGUAACGCGUGAGUAACUGCCCCCCUCUCUGGGGAAACAGUUGGAAACGGCUGCGAAUACCGGAUAGUGGGGGAUGACUCGCGUUCUAUCAGCUUGUUGGUGGGGUAGUGGCCUACCAAGGCGACGACGGGUAGCCGGCCUGAGAGGACGACCGGCCACAUUGGGCUGAGAUACGGCCCAAACUCCUACCGGAGGCAGCAGUGGUGAAUAUUGGGCAAUGGGCGCAAGCCUGACACAGCAACGCCGCGUGAAGGAAGAAGGUCUUCGGAUUGUAAACUUCUUUAGACAGGGCCGCGGUACCUGUAGAAUAAGCCACGGCUAACUACGUGCCAGCAGCCGCGGUAAUUC